GUAGUCACGGAACAUAUGGAUAAGGUCUAUUGUAUUGUCCCUGGUUUCUCUAAAAUAGAAGUUACCGACGUCAAUAAAAAUAAGUGCGGAAUCCUGGAUCCGGAUCAAAAUUAAAUGGAUCCUUAGCACCGGAUGUUACAUUUGUGCACAAAAAAAAA